UGGGUAGCAAACAGGAUUAGAUACCCUGGUAGUCCACGCCGUAAACGAUGUCUACUAGUCGUUGGGUCCCUUGAGGACUUAGUGACGCAGCUAACGCAAUAAGUAGACCGCCUGGGGAGUACGGCCGCAAGGUUAAAACUCAAAUGAAUUGACGGGGGCCCGCACAAGCGGUGGAGCAUGUGGUUUAAUUCGAUGCAACGCGAAGAACCUUACCUGGUCUUGACAUACACAGAAUCUUGUAGAGAUACGAGAGUGCCUUCGGGAAUUGUGAUACAGGUGCUGCAUGGCUGUCGUCAGCUCGUGUCGUGAGAUGUUGGGUUAAGUCCCGCAACGAGCGCAACCCUUGUCCUUAGUUACCAGCACUUCGGGUGGGAACUCUAAGGAUACUGCCAGUGACAAACUGGAGGAAGGCGGGGACGACGUCAAGUCAUCAUGGCCCUUACGACCAGGGCUACACACGUGCUACAAUGGUAGGUACAGAGGGCAGCUACACAGCGAUGUGAUGCGAAUCUCAAAAAGCCUAUCGUAGUCCAGAUUGGAGUCUGCAACUCGACUCCAUGAAGUAGGAAUCGCUAGUAAUCGCGGAUCAGAAUGCCGCGGUGAAUACGUUCCCGGGCCUUGUACACACCGCCCGUCACACCAUGGGAGUUGAUUGCACCAGAAGUGGUUAGCCUAACUUAGUGAGGGCGAUCACCACGGUGUGGUCGAUGACUGGGGUGAAGUCGUAACAAGGUAGCCGUAGGGGAACCUGCGGCUG
rnacentral:rRNA from 1 species